rnacentral:rRNA from 1 species
UACAGAGGGGGCAAGCGUUGUUCGGAAUUACUGGGCGUAAAGGGCGCGUAGGCGGCCUGUUAAGUCGAACGUGAAAUCCCCGGGCUCAACCCGGGAACUGCGUCCGAUACUGGCAGGCUUGAAUCCGGGAGAGGGAUGCGGAAUUCCAGGUGUAGCGGUGAAAUGCGUAGAGCUCGGGAAGAACAUCGGUGGCGAAAGCGCUUUGCUAGGCCGCAACUGACACUGAGGGACGAAAGCUAGGGGAGCGAAUGGG